ACGAACGCUGGCGGCGUGCUUAACACAUGCAAGUCGAACGGAAAGGCCCUGCUUUUGUGGGGUGCUCGAGUGGCGAACGGGUGAGUAACACGUGAGUAACCUGCCCUUGACUUUGGGAUAACUUCAGGAAACUGGGGCUAAUACCGGAUAGGAGCUCCUGCUGCAUGGUGGGGGUUGGAAAGUUUCGGCGGUUGGGGAUGGACUCGCGGCUUAUCAGCUUGUUGGUGGGGUAGUGGCUUACCAAGGCUUUGACGGGUAGCCGGCCUGAGAGGGUGACCGGCCACAUUGGGACUGAGAUACGGCCCAGACUCCUACGGGAGGCAGCAGUGGGGAAUAUUGCACAAUGGGCGGAAGCCUGAUGCAGCAACGCCGCGUGCGGGAUGACGGCCUUCGGGUUGUAAACCGCUUUCGCCUGUGACGAAGCGUGAGUGACGGUAAUGGGUAAAGAAGUACCGGCUAACUACGUG
rnacentral:rRNA from 1 species